rnacentral:misc_RNA from 1 species
GAUGAAGAACGUAGCAAAAUGCGAUAAGUAAUGUGAAUUGCAGAAUUCAGUGAAUCAUCGAAUCUUUGAACGCACAUUGUGCCCGCCAGUAUUCUGGCGGGCAUGCCUGUUCGAGCGUCAUUUCAACCCUCAAGCUCAGCUUGGUGUUGGGACUCGCGGUAACCCGCGUUCCCCAAAUCGAUUGGCGGUCACGUCGAGCUUCCAUAGCGUAGUAAUCAUACACCUCGUUACUGGUAAUCGUCGCGGCCACGCCGUAAAACCCCAACUUCUGAAUGUUGACCUCGGAUCAGGUAGGAAUACCCGCUGAACUUAAGCAUAUCAAUAAGCGGAGGA